rnacentral:ncRNA from 1 species
CGGUAGCUGGUACCACCGGGCUCACACGAGCCAAAACCAGCCUCAUGUCCGCACAGGACAAUCACAACCCGCACGGG